rnacentral:rRNA from 1 species
AUUGAACGCUGGCGGCAGGCCUAACACAUGCAAGUCGAACGGAAGCAGGGAGCAGGUUCCUGGAUCCCGGACCGGUGGGGGACGGAAUGGCAAGGACUCGGCCAGGUCGUGGGGGAUAAGGACCAGAAACGGGCACUAAUACCACAUACGUCCUGAGGGACAAAGCGAGGGAUCUUCGGAUUCCACGCUAUCGGCUGCGCCUAGGUCGGAUUAGCUAGUAGGUGGGGUAAAGGCCUACCAAGGCGACGAUCCGUAUCUGGUCUGAGAGGAUGACCAGCCACACUGGAACUGAGACACGGUCCAGACUCCUACGGGAGGCAGCAGUGGGGAAUAUUGCACAAUGGGCGAAAGCCUGAUGCAGCCAUGCCGCGUGUAUGAAGAAGGUCUUCGGAUUGUAAAGUACUUUAAGUGGGGAGGAAGGGAAUUAAGUUAAUACCUUGAUUCUUUGACGUUACCAACAGAAGAAGCACCGGCUAACUUCGUG